AACGUAGGGUGCGAGCGUUAAUCGGAAUAACUGGGCGUAAAGGGUGCGUAGGCGGGGAUAUAAGUUAGAUGUGAAAUACCUGGGCAUAACCUAGGAACAGCAUUUAAUACUGUAUGAGCUAGAGUUAGGCAGAGGGGGGUAGAAUUCCAAGUGUAGCAGUGAAAUGCGUAGAGAUUUGGAGGAAUACCGAUGGCGAAGGCAUCCCCCUGGGCUAUAACUGACGCUGAGGCACGAAAGCGUGGGGAGCACACAGG
rnacentral:rRNA from 1 species